ensembl:ncRNA mir-let7 let-7
UCUGGCAAAUUGAGGUAGUAGGUUGUAUAGUAGUAAUUACACAUCAUACUAUACAAUGUGCUAGCUUUCUUUGCUUGA